rnacentral:rRNA from 1 species
AUUGAACGCUGGCGGCAUGCCUUACACAUGCAAGUCGAACGGCAGCACGGGUGCUUGCACCUGGUGGCGAGUGGCGAACGUGUGAGUAAUACAUCGGAACGUACCUUAUCGUGGGGGAUAACGCAGCGAAAGUUGCGCUAAUACCGCAUACGCCCUGAGGGGGAAAGCGGGGGACCGUAAGGCCUCGCGCGAUUAGAGCGGCCGAUGUCUGAUUAGCUUGUUGGUGAGGUAAAAGCUCACCAAGGCGAUGAUCAGUAGCUGGUCUGAGAGGACGAUCAGCCACACUGGGACUGAGACACGGCCCAGACUCCUACGGGAGGCAGCAGUGGGGAAUUUUGGACAAUGGAGGCAACCCUGAUCCAGCAAUGCCGCGUGAGUGAAGAAGGCCUUCGGGCUGUAAAGCUCUUUUGUCAGGGAAGAAACAGCAGCUCUAACACAGUCUGCGAAUGACGGUACCUGAAGAAUAAGCACCGGCUAACUACGUGCCAGCCGCCGCAGUAA